UCUGACCUCAAAUCAGGUAGGAUUACCCGCUGAACUUAAGCAUAUCAAUAAGCGGAGGAAAAGAAACUAACAAGGAUUCCCUUAGUAACUGCGAGUGAAACGGGAAAAGCUCAAAUUUUAAAUCUGGCAGUCAGUUUUUUUCUUCUUUGGCUGUCCGAGUUGUAAUCUAAAAAAUGGUCUACUGGUACUGGACC
rnacentral:rRNA from 1 species